GUGCUUGCUUCAGCAGCACAUAUACUAAAAUUGGAGCCAUACAGAGAUGGUUAGCAUGGUCCCUCUGCAGGGAUGACAUGUACAUUUGUGAAGCAUUCCAUAUUUAA